ACUUCUAAAGGAUAGUAGAAAUCCACUGGUCUUAGGAGCCAACAACCUUGGUGCAAGUCCAAGUAGAAGUA
rnacentral:tRNA from 1 species